CAAUAGCGUAUAUUUAAGUUGUUGCAGUUAAAAAGCUCGUAGUUGGAUUUCGGGUGGGACGCAGCGGUCUCGCAUUGCGUUUGUACUGCUGCAGCCAUCCUUCUUGCCGGGGGCGGCCUCUCGGACUUCACUGUCUGGGGGUCAGAAUCGGCGAUGUUACUUUGAGUAAAUUAGAGUGUUCAAAGCAAGCUUACGCUCUGAAUAUAAUAGCAUGGGAUAACACGACAGGACUCUGGCCUAUCGUGUUGGUCUAUAGGACCAGAGUAAUGAUUAAGAGGGACAGUCGGGGGCAUUCGUAUUCCGUUGUCAGAGGUGAAAUUCUUGGAUUUACGGAAGACGAACAUCUGCGAAAGCAUUUGCCAAGGAUGUUUNCAUUG
rnacentral:rRNA from 1 species